UUGAACAGGAAAGACUUGUAAACUGCUAGUAUGAUGAAUUUACUGAACGCCAUGAAGUCAGUAGUGGGAUUAUUAAUUUUUCUUCUCAGUCAUGAUGCCUCGACGGCAGCUCCAAUAAACAUUGCUUUAGCAUCAACAGAGAAUGCAAGUCCUCAAACAGGCAUUUACCUUGACACUGGCAUCAUAGCUGGCAUUGUCAUUGUCACUGUGAUUGUCUUUGCCUUGAUAGGAAUGGCUGAUCAGGAGCAGGCUGAUGAAUGUGUCAAUUUAAAUAAAGGUACAACUACAAGUCAGGACACAUUCUGUGCAGAAUGUUCAAACGGCUGCUGGAAAUGUUGUAGAGGUUUUGUAUCCUGUUGUUGUACUGAAUCCCUAUUCAUAGGUUGUGACAUAUGCUGCAUGUCUCUAUUUUAAAUGGAAAAAUUCAUCAACAAUAAUUAUUUCACUGCUCCUUUGGAUACUGUAUGCACUACAGUCAUUGUCAGUUGAUUGCCUGGGCUCAUCUUUCAUUUCAUAUAAGACUAAAUGUUUAUAAUAAUUUUAUAAUAGGUUUAUAAGUUCAUAAGUUUACAAUAACAAUACACGUUAGGCACCUUUCUAAACACUCAAGGUCAACUUAGAAAAAAUAAGUAAUCGAAAAAACAAGAAGAAUAUUUUUAGAGUGGCCUAGCCUUAAAUUACACCAGAUUAAGACGCUUUGAUAUGACCUUAAACAUGCUGUUCAUGCUCAAAAACCUUCCAUUGUGGCUACAUUCAAAUAAUUCAGCAAAAAAAAAAAAGAACAAAGGGGCAAAGCUCGUUGGUUUAAUUUGUUACACAGGAAGGUUUGGUUAGUUUUUUUAGUUGUUGUUUUUUUUUUAAUCAAUAAAUUAAAUUAGAACUUAAGAAAACUGUAUUCUACAUAUUCAUGUUGUCUUUGUCUAUUAUUACAAUUUUAUUGAUGAUCUGAAACAUUUGAAUGUGUAAACUGUGCAAAACCUAAUAAAUCAGGAAGGGGCUGAUCCUUUUUCACA